rnacentral:rRNA from 1 species
UCGAGGAUCUUCGUCAAUGGGCGCAAGCCUGAACGAGCGACGCCGCGUGGGCGAUGAAGGCCUUCGGGUUGUAAAGCCCUGUCGAGGGGGAGAAAGGCCUUAACCGGCUUGAUCGAUCCCUGGAGGAAGCACGGGCUAAGUUCGUGCCAGCAGCCGCGGUAAGACGAACCGUGCGAACGUUGUUCGGAAUCACUGGGCUUAAAGGGCGCGUAGGCGGCCCGCGAGGUCGGGGGUGAAAUCCCACGGCUUAACCGUGGAAGCGCCUCCGAUACCGGCGGGCUGGAGGAGGGUAGGGGUGCGCGGAACUUCUGGUGGAGCGGUGAAAUGCGUUGAUAUCAGAAGGAACGCCGGCGGCGAAAGCGGCGCACUGGACCCUUUCUGACGCUGAGGCGCGAAAGCCAGGGGAGCAAACGGGAUUAGAUACCCGGGUAGUCC